rnacentral:rRNA from 1 species
UGGGGAAUCUUGGACAAUGGGCGAAAGCCUGACGCAGCCAUGCCGCGUGAAUGAUGAAGGUCUUAGGAUUGUAAAAUUCUUUCACCGGGGACGAUAAUGACGGUACCCGGAGAAGAAGCCCCGGCUAACUUCGUGCCAGCAGCCGCGGUAAUACGAAGGGGGCUAGCGUUGCUCGGAAUUACUGGGCGUAAAGGGCGCGUAGGCGGACAUUUAAGUCAGGGGUGAAAUCCCAGAGCUCAACUCUGGAACUGCCUUUGAUACUGGGUGUCUUGAGUGUGAGAGAGGUAUGUGGAACUCCGAGUGUAGAGGUGAAAUUCGUAGAUAUUAGGAAGAACACCAGUGGCGAAGGCGGCUCACUGGAUCGGUACUGACGCUGAGGUGCGAAAGCGUGGGGAGCAAACAGGAUUAGAUACCCAAGUAGUCCCUGAGCGGGCUGGCAAGGCGCAU